UACGUAGGGUGCGAGCGUUGUCCGGAAUUAUUGGGCGUAAAGAGCUCGUAGGCGGUCUGUUACGUCGGGAGUGAAAACUCGGGGCUCAACCCCGAGCCUGCUUCCGAUACGGGCAGACUAGAGGUAUGCAGGGGAGAAUGGAAUUCCUGGUGUAGCGGUGAAAUGCGCAGAUAUCAGGAGGAACACCGGUGGCGAAGGCGGCUUCCUGGACCUGUUCUGACACUGAGGAGCGAAAGCGUGGGGAGCGAUCCGG
rnacentral:rRNA from 1 species